rnacentral:lncRNA from 1 species
GGUGACUAAGAAGAAACUUGGCGGCAGCUGGUUGAUACGGCGGAGGUGGCCGAUGAUAUAGUAGAUACGGUCCAGGUGAUAAUGGUGUCGUGAUUGGUGGUGGUUGUGGGUUUGGGUCCGACGGUGAUUUGGGUCCGGUGGGUUGGAAUGGAGGAAACAGAGGCAGAGGUCAAGGAUAUGGGUGAGGUGAUGGUGGUAGUGGUGAAUACACG